rnacentral:rRNA from 1 species
UUCCUACGGGACGCAGCAGUCGGGAAUAUUGCACAAUGGAGGAAACUCUGAUGCAGUGACGCCGCGUGCAGGAAGAAGGUUUUCGGAUUGUAAACUGCUUUAGAUGGGGAAGAAGAAAGACUGUACCCAUAGAAUAAGCUCCGGCUAACUACGUGCCAGCAGCCGCGGUAAUACGUAGGGAGCAAGCGUUAUCCGGAUUUACUGGGUGUAAAGGGAGCGUAGACGGAGGAGCAAGUCUGAUGUGAAAAUCCGGGGCCCAACCCCGGAACUGCAUUGGAAACUGUUUAUCUAGAGUGUCGGAGAGG